rnacentral:rRNA from 1 species
GAUGAACGCUGGCGGCGUGCUUAACACAUGCAAGUCGAACGGAAAGGCCCGGCUCUUGCGGGGCGCUCGAGUGGCGAACGGGGGAGUAAAACGCGAGUAAACUGCCCCUGUAUGUGGGAUAACUUUAGGGAACAGGGGCUAAUACCGGGGAGGAGCUCCUGCUGCACGGUGGGGGAUGGAAAGAUUCGGUUGUGGUGGAUGGUCUCGCGGCUUACGCGCUGGAUGGUGGGGUAGUGACUGCCCAAGGUUUUGACGGGUAGCCGGCCUGGGAGGGUGACCGGCCACAUUGGUCCUGCGGGACGGCCCAGACUGCUACGGGCGGCAGCGGUGGGGAACAUUGCGCAGUAGGCGGAAGCCUGAUGCGGCGGCGCCGCGUGCGGGAUGACGGCCUUCGGGUUGUAAACCGCUUUCGCCUGUGCUGAAGAGUGAGUGACGGUAAUGAGUAAAGAAGCACCGGCUAACUACGUG